rnacentral:rRNA from 1 species
GAUGAACGCUAGCGGCAGGCUUAAUACAUGCAAGUCGAGGGACAGCACAGGUAGCAAUACUGGGUGGUAACCGGCAAACGGGUGCGGAACACGUACACAACCUUCCUUUAAGUGGGGGAUAGCCCAGAGAAAUUUGGAUUAAUACCCCGUAAUAUAGUUGAAUGGCAUCAUUUGAUUAUUAUAGCUACGGCGCUUAAUGAUGGGUGUGCGGCUGAUUAGAUAGUUGGCGGGGUAACGGCCCACCAAGUCUACGAUCAGUAGCUGAUGUGAGAGCAUGAUCAACCACACGGGCACUGAGACACGGGCCCGACUGCUACGGGAGGCAGCAGUAAGGAAUAUUGGGCAAUGGACGCAAGUCUGAACCAGCCAUGCCGCGUGAAGGAUUAAGGUCCUCUGGAUUGUAAACUUCUUUUAUUUGGGACGAAAAAGGGCCUUUCUAGGUCAACUGACGGUACCAGAUGAAUAAGCACCGGCUAACUCCGUGCCAGCCGCCGCAGUAACAC